AUUACGCGGACGAAUAUCGUUCAGAUGAAAGUGCUACGCAAUUCCUUAACGAUUUGAUAGCAGAAAAAAGAUUAUUCUUAGCGCGAAUUGGGGAAGGUAAAUGAAUUUGCGAGGAAGAUUUUCAUCCGAGAACAAUUAUCCCCUUCCGUUCGGAACCGUUUUCGAAAAGUCAACUUUCCAGAGGCGAUUUGACGUUUUGUUUUCCCUCCGCCAUGGCGGACAUGACGUCAUCGCUUGGCCUGUUUCCAAGACAACGGAGGGAGAGCUUGAUAGUUGUCUUGCCUAAUGGCCCUAUACAACUGUUUAGUCUAUCUAACUGGAAAUCUGCCACUGUUAAAAUGUACUAACGCUACACUGCUAAAUUGCAAUUAGAAAAUGAUCAGAGACCAAACCAGAAACUGAAAACAGGAGAAGAUUAUAUAUACUCCGAAUUGCUGAUUAUAAAAAAGGCAACUUCACAGAGGUUGAGAAAACCUUAAUUUGAAAUGGAACUUCCGUCAUUGCCAAUCUAGUUCUGGAGGAAUAACUUUUUUUUUUUCAAUUUUAUUACAUACAAUAAAAUUUGGAGUGGGAAA